rnacentral:rRNA from 1 species
AGAGUUUGAUCAUGGCUCAGGAUGAACGCUAGCGGCAGGCUUAAUACAUGCAAGUCGUGGGGCAGCAUGGUGUAGCAAUACACUGAUGGCGACCGGCAAACGGGUGCGGAACACGUACGCAACCUUCCUUUAAGUGGAGAAUAGCCCGGCGAAAGCCGAUUAAUACUCCGUAACAUUAUGAAGUGGCAUCACUUUAUAAUUAUAGCUCCGGCGCUUAAAGAUGGGCGUGCGUCUGAUUAGGUAGUUGGCGGGGUAACGGCCCACCAAGCCUACGAUCAGUAACUGGUGUGAGAGCACGACCAGUCACACGGGCACUGAGACACGGGCCCGACUCCUACGGGAGGCAGCAGUAAGGAAUAUUGGUCAAUGGACGCAAGUCUGAACCAGCCAUGCCGCGUGAAGGAUGAAGGUCCUCUGGAUUGUAAACUUCUUUUAUUUGGGAAGAAACCCAAGAUUUCUAUUUUGGUUGACGGUACCAGAUGAAUAAGCACCGGCUAACUCCGUGCCAGCAGCCGCGGUAAUACGGAGGGUGCAAGCGUUAUCCGGAUUCACUGGGUUUAAAGGGUGCGUAGGCGGGCAGGUAAGUCCGUGGUGAAAUCUCCAAGCUUAACUUGGAAACUGCCGUGGAUACUAUUUGUCUUGAAUAUAGUGGAGGUGAGCGGAAUAUGUCAUGUAGCGGUGAAAUGCUUAGAUAUGACAUAGAACACCCAUUGCGAAGGCAGCUCGCUACACUAUUAUUGACGCUGAGGCACGAAAGCGUGGGGAUCAAACAGGAUUAGAUACCCCAGUAGUCC